rnacentral:rRNA from 1 species
AACGAACGCUGGCGGCAUGCCUAACACAUGCAAGUCGAACGAGACCUUCGGGUCUAGUGUCGCACGGGUUCGUAACGCGUGGGAACCUGCCCUUAGGUUCGGCAUAACUCCCCGAAAGGGGUGCUAAUACCGGAUAAUGUCUUCGGACCAAAGAUUUAUCGCCUUUGGAUGGGCCCGCGUUGGAUUAGCUAGUUGGUAGGGUAAAAGCCUACCAAGGCGACGAUCCAUAGCUGGUCUGAGAGGAUGAUCAGCCACACUGGGACUGAGACACGGCCCAGAAUCCUACGGGAGGCAGCAGUGGGGAAUAUUGGACAAUGGGCGAAAGCCUGAUCCAGCAAUGCCGCGUGAGUGAUGAAGGCCUUAGGGUUGUAAAGCUCUUUUACCCGGGAUGAUAAUGACAGUACCGGGAGAAUAAGCUCCGGCUAACUCCGUG